GGAGGUAUAGCUCACGUGGUAGAGCACAUGCUCAGCAUGCACAGGGUCCUGGGUUCAAUUCCCAGUACUUCCU
rnacentral:tRNA from 1 species